AGUUGUUUAGAUAGGUGUCGGUAAUGUAGGUGUUUUAGACAGGUGACAGAUAACAUAACCAAAAAAUUUUAUUUUUGACAUUUAAUAUCAAAAUAAUUUGGAUAAUAUAUUUCAAAUUAAAGUUUUUCUUUAUUAAAGCUCAAAAUAAAAAUGUCUUUAUCCCCGUAUUUUAAAACACCCUUCACCGAUAUCACCGGGGCUAUGAUCAGUCACCAAUGGUAUGGGAAAUGUGCUAAACGUGAAAUGGAUAUGAUUGAUUGUUUCGAAGCUUAUGGAUUGGAUAACGCAUUGAAUAAGUGCCACACUUUAAUUGAAGAUUUUAAAGCAUGCUCUAAUAAUCAAGCUCAAGUUAAACGUACGUUUGAAAUGAGAUGGGAGCGUGAUCGACAAUAUUACUCUGGGGAAAGAACUAAAGAAAAUCGUUAUGCUCCCUCACCCAGACCUGAUUCUACAAUUUAAAAUUCCAGUGGAAUUAGUAACUUUAUUUUUAUUUUGUUUUCUUUGUAUAGUUAUUGUAAUAAAAAUAAAUAAAGGGUAGUAUUAAAAAA